CCCGCCUUCCCAUGGAAACGGGCUGCCGCUGGUUAGGAGAUCCCGGGCACAACGGGACCGACGCCAAAGCCUGCGGCGACGCAGAAUUCCCCGUCCCCAGCGACCGCUCUCCAGCCGGCGACAGCGCCCUCCGACUGCCCUGGGUCUCACACCCUAAAAGCUGAAAACUUGUAUCAGGUGCAGCAUUAAUACUUCAGACACAGUGUCACGGGUCUCACCUUCAACAUCUCGUUCUCAGGAACUCCCAAACGUUUGCGUUGGUGCAGCCCUCACACCUGGCAUGUCUGGGGGAGGCCGGAGAGUUAAAAGCUUCAAACGCCGCUUGACAAAAGAACAAUGACAUUUAAUACAGCCGGAUGCUACAGGUUUCCUGCACUCCUCGCUCCCAGAAGGCAGCAGUGAAAAUAAAGAGCUUAGUGACGCUCCCUUAGACAUACUGAUCAUUCAUGCAUAAAUCAAAUUCCAAAGGUAAAUAAACGUUCAUAAACGAA